rnacentral:rRNA from 1 species
CCUACGGGGGGCUGCAGUAGGGAAUAUUGCACAAUGGGCGAAAGCCUGAUGCAGCAACGCCGCGUGAGGGAUGAAGGCCUUCGGGUUGUAAACCUCUUUUAGUAGGGAAGAAGCGAAAGUGACGGUACCUACAGAAAAAGCACCGGCUAACUACGUGCCAGCAGCCGCGGUAAUACGUAGGGUGCAAGCGUUGUCCGGAAUUAUUGGGCGUAAAGAGCUCGUAGGCGGUUUGUCGCGUCUGCUGUGAAAAUCCGAAGCUCAACUUCGGACCUGCAGUGGGUACGGGCAGACUAGAGUGCGGUAGGGGAGAAGGGAAUUCCUGGUGUAGCGGUGGAAUGCGCAGAUAUCAGGAGGAACACCGAUGGCGAAGGCACUUCUCUGGGCCGUAACUGACGCUGAGGAGCGAAAGCGUGGGGAGCGAACAGGAUUAGAUACCCCGGUAGUC